AUUUUACCACGUAUGAGAAUUUUCUAUACAAACAAAGCCAAAAAUAUCUCUAAUUUCGAAAGUUGGAAUAAAGGUUUUGCAUAAUACGAUUUCGGACAUAAUGUUCAUCAAGAAAGUAUAAAUUUCGUAUUUAAGUAUGCUAUUUUAAGUACACAUUUUCAUUUUUGUAACAGGUUUUCGGGCGCGCUUUACGAUAGCAGUCGUGACUUCCAUUCAAAGAAUUAAGCGGUGAGCUUCAAUGAAUCGCGGUCAUGAUCUCGUUAAUAAUUUUAUUAUUGUUUUUAUUUCACUUCCGCUGUAUUUAACAAGCUUGAAAGAAUUUCAUAAUCGGUGAUUUUUCAAUAUCUGUCCCUAUAAACAAGCGGUUCGGCAAAUUUUUAUCGGUUCAAGCUAAUCGACAUAAACUGGUUGAAUAACAACACUGCAUAUGAUUAUAACAUAUGAUUUAUUGAUAUGUUAAUUUUUAAAUUCCACAAUUUUUUUUGGAUCUGCGGUAGUCUUUAUAAUUGAUCUAUGUACCGUAUAUAUAUAUAUUGGAAUGGAAUUAUAAGCACGAAAAACUGGUAUUAUAUCUUUAUAAAGAUCAUCAAAAUUAUUUCUUCAUCAUAUCAACAAUUUUUAAAAAAUAAUGCGUUUGUUGAACUUUUCAUAUAUUUUAAUAUCAUUCAUCAGCAUAAUAAUUUAUAUAAUAGUGCGGGUGAUAUUAGCGAUUUCAAUCCCUCGAUUCGGGAUAAUAAAUGGAAGAAAUCUCAAGGUUUGAUUUAUUUAAUAAAAUAAUCGAAAACGAUCAUUUACCAUAACUUUCGCAUAUUUUCUUAGCCGUUCUUGAUGUAUUUUUUAUACGCAGAAAUACGAACAUGGGAAAUAAGACAAAUUUUAUUAUAAAUCUAGUAUAAAAAAUCCCAAAUUAGUCCUCUCAUAAUACAAAAAUUGUAAGGUGAUUAAUUUAAUGUCUAAAAAAAAUUUAAUAGAGGAAAAUAAGAUACUUUAUUAUAUUUGAACUUCUGAAACAAAAGUCAAAUUACAAGAUUUAGCAGAACUUUUAAGUUAACAGAACAAUCUUAUAAUGUACAUUUAGUAUUAUGUAGAUUUUCAAUGUGUUUACUCUUGAGCCACUUGAGAUUUUAC
rnacentral:lncRNA from 1 species